rnacentral:rRNA from 1 species
GACGAACGCUGGCGGCGUGCUUAACACAUGCAAGUCGAACGGAAAGGCCCUGCUUUUGUGGGGUGCUCGAGUGGCGAACGGGUGAGUAACACGUGAGUAACCUGCCCUUGACUUUGGGAUAACUUCAGGAAACUGGGGCUAAUACCGGAUAGUAGCUCCUGCUGCAUGGUGGGGGUUGGAAAGUUUUGGCGGGUGGGGAUGGACUCGCGGCUUAUCAGCUUGUUGGUGGGGUAGUGGCUUACCAAGGCUUUGACGGGUAGCCGGACUGAGAGGGUGACCGGGCACAUUGGGACUGAGAUACGGCCCAGACUCCUACGGGAGGCAGCAGUGGGGAAUAUUGCACAAUGGGCGGAAGCCUGAUGCAGCAACGCCGCGUGCGGGAUGACGGCCUUCGGGUUGUAAACCGCUUUCGCCUGUGACGAAGCGUGAGUGACGGUAAUGGGUAAAGAAGCACCGGCUAACUACGUG